UCAACCCGGGGAGGCAGCCUUCUUGGGCUUAACUUCUAUACGUCACAUUAGUAAUACGUUCGCUUAUAAUGCUGAUUUAAAGCCGCAGCAAAUUUAGCUGCUUGUGCUAUCGUGUAUUAUGUUGUGCUAUCUGUCGAUUUUCUGUGCUUUUCACUGCAUCUAUUAUGUAAAGCUGCUUUGAUACAAUUACCAAAUUGUGAAAAGCGCUAUAUAAAUAAAAUUGAAUUGAAAAAUUUUUUGAAUUGAAUGUGUUACAUGAGAAACGUGAUAUAUGAAUAUGUUAUGAAUAUGUUACAUGAGAAACGUCUUAAUGAAUGUGUUAAAUGAGAAAUGUGUUACAUGAAUGUGUUCAAAGAGAAAUGUGGAACAUGAGAAACGUCUUAAUGAAUGUGUUACAUGAGAAAUGUGUUACAUGAAUGUGUUCAAUGAGAAAUGUGCAACAUGAGAAACGUCUUAAUAAAUGUUUUACAUGAGAAACAUCUUAAAUGUGUUCAAUGAGAAAUGUGUUAAAUGGAAAUGUCUUUAAUGAAUGUGUUACAUGAGAAACAUCUUAAAUGUUUUCAAUGAGAAAUGUGUUAAAUGGGAAACGUCUUUAAUGAAUGUCUUGAAUGAGAAACGUCUUAAAUAAAAAUAAAUGAAUUAUUAAUCUGCUGUCUUUUUGUUAAAGGUUUUUAUUAUUAUUAAAACGGGGCUAUAGGGAGGGAGGUUGUUGUAACGCAUUGAUUUACAAUGAUUAAUUUACAAUGUUUUGUGUGUGUGUGUGUGUGUAAACACUAUAAACAUCCAUAAACAUUAUAAGCUUACUACACAAUGUACAGUUGACUGUGUGCUGUGUAUGUAUCUCAUACCGGUUUGAUUUGUAAAUAUACAAAGAACAAGAUAAAAAAUAGACUCAUAAGGCACUUCUUUAAUUUAUUGUUAAUUAUAAUAAUAUCCCUGUCCUGACUUGGUGUCAUUUUCUUUUGUUAAUUUCAAACAUCUGAUGGGAAAUGUCAUCUUUAUCACUUCUUAUUAAUCCCUGGAAGAAUUAAUAUAUACAUUUUAUUAAUUCAAGUAAUUAAUAAAUACAUUUAUUGCAUUUAAUUAACAAACAGAAUCCAAGUGCCAAAAAAACCUCCACCCAUACGUUUUAUGCAUAACUAUGCACAAUGUACCGACACUUUUUUAUUAGCCUCUCUAAUUACACAAUACUGGAUGAAUCUGCAUUAAGAAAACGAAAUUUUCCAUUAAAAGACUUUUCGUUGUUGAUGUGCUUCUGACAUCGAGGUAGAUCUCGCGUGGUGGACCGCGAUUUAGAAAAGUACAAGACACGCCUACUACAACUGACGCCUCCGUCUUGCAGGACGCAGACAAACACGACUGUAUACUGUUAGUCCAUUGAGUUAUUAUGAGAUUUAAAGCAGCCGAAAGUGUGUUACCUGUCAUUCUGGCCGCCCUCAAAUCCGUGGCGAAGGAAAGUAGUUCCCAAACAAAGAGGCUUUUAAAAUAACUCCGUUGUUGUUUUCUAGUUUUCUUUUUUUAAACGUGUGCCGUCGAACUAUUGUAUAAAAGCAAUAUCGCUCGAGUAGGAGUUUGAUAUAGCUCUAUAUCAUGAUGAUAUAGAGCUAUAUCACACUCCUACUCGAGCGAUAUUGCUUAAAUAUAACAUUUAUGUGGUGUAUUGGGAUAAUGUGUAAUUAUGCAUAAUGUGUGUUCAUUGGUUCAGAUGCCUGGGAGAGGGUAUUUAAGUCACGUGAUGUGAUUUGCAACUGGGUUGAUGUGAUGUAGUCUGUUUGUGACCUGAACAUAAGUAAAGCAUGUUUGAUAGCAUUUCGUUGUCUGCCUCGUGAAUAUACAACAUUAAUUGGCGACGAGGAUAAAGCAUGUGAGAGAACAUGGCGCAAAUCGGAAGAUUAGAUUAGUAUAAACCCGAAAAUGAGUCCUGGUCUGCAUAUAUUGAACGAGCGGAAUUGUUCAUGAUUGCAAAUGACGUGGAGGAUACAAAGCAAGUAGCGACUUUGCUUAGUGCUGUGGGAGCGUCAACAUAUGGUUUCUUAUAUAUGGCAAAGCCAAAAGAUAAAACUCUGUUCACAAUUUCUUCCAUUCUUAAGGCCCAUUUUGAACCAAAGCCGUUAAUUAUAGCUGAACGCUUCCGAUUUCAGCGCUGUGUUCAAAAGCCCCAUGAAACUGUGUCCCAGUAUGUUGCUGAACUGAAACAAUGUGCAUCUAAAUGUGACUUUGGUGCAACUUUGGAUGAAUCUCUACGUGAUCGUUUUGUUAGUGGAAUCCAAAGUGAAGCAUGUCAACGAAGAUUGCUUUCGGAAGACACACUCACCUUUUCACGUGGACUUGAAAUUGCUCACAGCAUGGAAACCGCAGACCGAGAUACACAACAGCUGAGGAAAACGGAGGAUUCAGCAACAGUGCAUAAGAACACUUUCAAAUCAUCUGACACUUCAACUGGCCAACCUUCCAUGACAUAACGGAAAACUUUAGAAAGUUCUUGAUCUGGUCUUGUCAUUCUGGCAAUCGGUGCUGCAUUUAGAGGAGCUUCUUGAAGAUGGUUUGUCAAAAGAGUGUUGAUAUUUGCUGAAAUGGCUUCUGUUCCUACAUCCGUAAUUUCAGGAAUCAGCAUUAAUCGUGGACUGCUGUGUCUUGGAAACGUGAUCAGCGCGCUUGGUGAUGAAAGCAAGAAGGGAACUUUCGUACCAUACAGAGACUCUAAGCUGACGCGUCUCCUGCAGGGUAAGACU